GGGGAUGUGGCUCAGUGGUAGAGUGCUUGCCUAGAGUGUGUGAGGCACUGAGUUCACUUCUCAACCCCA
rnacentral:tRNA from 1 species